rnacentral:lncRNA from 1 species
GAAGCAACCAGACCCCUGGUCCCGCUUGGCAAGCGACGCUUGGAUAGGUCAGCUCGUCUGACAUCUGGAACACCAGAUGAGAUACCUGCAGUACAACACGCACGGCAACACCGUCGCCGUCACACGGUCAAUCCACGUUUAGCAGAUUACGCAGAGCCACCUGCUUCCGAAAGCACCAAUACUGAUGAUGACCCCGGAAUGAUCUGUUCGGUCUGUCUACGAGGGCGGCCGACGUCCACUCUUCUGCUCUGCGAUGAGCCUUCCUGCUGUCUGGGCUGGCACACUACGUGUCUAGAUCCACCAUUGUCUGUGGUACCGGCUGGGCCAUGGUUUUGCCCACUUCAUAAUAGCAAACCAGCUCAACAUUCUGCAAAGCGUCGUCUGUCUACUGGCCCUGGCGAUACACCAGCCAAACGGGUGCAUUUUUCCCGAUCCCUGCCCGCCCUGGACAAACCCUGUCCUGCUGAUCAGCAAUUGGCUGGAGGUCCAGCCAUCAUUCACCCCCGGGCCACCCCAGGUCGCCCUAUGGCCGACCGUAUUCCUACUCAGGGUUUGACCCCGUCACCUUCUCCUUCCUUGUCUUCCUCAAGCAAGGAGAGCGACUCAGGUCCGGAUUCCAAUGCUUUUACCCCAGAUAGUGGUAAUAGCUCCGGCGAGACGCCGAAGCCUGGACCUACAGAAAUUUGGCAGGAUAAAGCAUUGAUUCGAUACUUAGAAUCUGGCAAGCUUCCUGUUGACGUUUCGGCGUCCGGGGAGGACAAUCUAAGGGAGAUGACAAGAUUACGUAAAAAGGCUGCUCGAUAUGAACUUUCGAAUGGCCAGUUGUGGAAGCUGAGCUCGGAUAAGCAAUCACGGGUGCGAGUUCUCAAACCUGAGGAACGCCUGGCAGCGCUUCAAGAGGCCCACGACAUGGCUCAUUGGGGAGUCGGCAAGACCUAUGACUUCCUUCGCAAGCGUUUCUUUUGGGAGAACAUGN